ACCGAUUUUAUGGGAACACUUUCCAACACUUGAUCGUUCUCUGGAGGAGCCUCCCCUCUCGCUGUAGCAGUGCUAUUAAUGAAUACGAAAACAGAAGAAGUGUCAGUCCAGUUUCAGGAAGUAGCAUGUGCCUGCAGCACCGGAAGCUGCAGUUCUAGGACCGCAGUUCUAGGACUCUAGAUUUCCGUGACACUGCCACCUAUUGAAUUGGAUAACCAUGGACUGGAACAAGAUAAUCAAUAUUAUCCUGCAGUAGUGAAUGCCCAUAAGAGUGAAUGUAGGUUAUGGCUCGAUAUGAAUAAGAUUAGAAGAAAAAAGGAAUGCAGUUUAUUUUAUAAGAUGGGCGAGAAUCAGAGUAUGCAUAUAACCAUCCAAGACGGAAGGUCCUUUCCAGAAUUAAAACGAUGCACCACGUGCUGCAUGGACUUCCACUGCCCUUUCUGUCUUUCUCAUUUGUUUCAACCUACAAAACUGAGCAAGGUCACCACCCAUCUAGAGAGCCAUUUCAAUCGGUCAGUUUUCCAUAAAGGAUAUACCGUUCACAAAUGUGGCUUAAAUUGCAGACCACAAUUGCAUUACCACUGCAUCUACUGCCAGUCAAUGCUUUCACGCAAACCAGACUUCAUCAAACACUUGGCUUUGUGCAAGGAGAAAUACCUUUCCAUAUCCACCAUCCCAGCUCCAACAAGGACCACCAUCCCAGCUCCGACAAGGACCACUAUAGAUACAUUAUACCUUUCUAUAUAAUUGCCUCAUCUAACAUCACAUAUGCUGACAAAGCCUCCAUAGCCUCAUCCAAGUGUAUUGUCACUAAACACUGACCAGUCUGUGUCAUCAAAGCAGUUCCUGAGAUAUAUGGUUGUCUUUACCUAACAAUGAGCUAAUGACACUGAUUGCCAAACAUACAACUGUUAAUAACCAAGUUGUUUUUUGCCUCAAACCAUUCAAAUAUCUUGUUGCGGUCUAGUGACCCUGCCUUUCAUCAUCCAAUUCACGAGAUGACGCUGUCAGGUGAAACUAGGGUCCUAGAACUGCGGUCCUAGAACUGCUGCCUCUGGUACUGCAGGCACAUGUAGAUUAGGCACAAGUUCCAAGUUUAUAACCAUUUGCAACAAGUUCAGAUAACUUUGAAAUGUUUAGUCAAGCUCCUCUUGACCACCCCAGCAGCCUAUCAAAACUUGUAAUAACAACAUCUAGUUGUACAAAUAAAUACACUCCAUACCACAAAUGUAUUUA